GAUCCUUUAUUAAUAGAUUUAUCGCUACCGGAUUGGCUCGCGUACCAUUAGCUAGUUGGCGGGGUAACGGCCCACCAAGGCGACGAUGGUUAGGGGUUCUGAGAGGAAGGUCCCCCACAUUGGAACUGAGACACGGUCCAGACUCCUACGGGAGGCAGCAGUGAGGAAUAUUGGACAAUGGCCGAGAGGCUGAUCCAGCCAUGCCGCGUGCGGGAAGACGGCCCUAUGGGUUGUAAACCGCUUUUGUUGGGGAGCAAUAAGGAUCACGUGUGGUCCGACGAGAGUACCCAGCGAAUAAGCAUCGGCUAACUCCGUGCCAGCAGCCGCGGUAAUACGGAGGAUGCAAGCGUUAUCCGGAUUUAUUGGGUUUAAAGGGUGCGUAGGCGGAUGCCUAAGCGUGAGGUGAAAUCCCCGGGCUCAACCUGGGAACUGCCUCGCGAACUGGGUGUCUGGAAUGCUCCUGCCGUGGGAGGAAUGUGUGGUGUAGCGGUGAAAUGCAUAGAGAUCACACAGAACACCGAUUGCGAAGGCAUCUCACGAAGGGGUGAUUGACGCUGAGGCACGAAAGCGUGGGGAUCAA
rnacentral:rRNA from 1 species